rnacentral:rRNA from 1 species
UAACUGAAUCCAUAGGUUAAUGAGGCGAACCGGGGGAACUGAAACAUCUAAGUACCCCGAGGAAAAGAAAUCAACCGAGAUUCCCCCAGUAGCGGCGAGCGAACGGGGAGCAGCCCAGAGCCUGAAUUAGUGUGUGUGUUAGUGGAAGCGUCUGGAAAGGCGCGCGAUACAGGGUGACAGCCCCGUACACAAAAAUGCACAUACUGUGAGCUCGAUGAGUAGGGCGGGACACGUGGUAUCCUGUCUGAAUAUGGG